AGGAGCUUGCUCCUUUGAAGUUAGCGGCGGACGGGUGAGUAACACGUGGGUAACCUACCUAUAAGACUGGAAUAACUUCGGGAAACCGGAGCUAAUGCCGGAUAACAUUUGGAACCGCAUGGUUCUAAAGUAAAAGAUGGUUUUGCUAUCACUUAUAGAUGGACCCGCGCCGUAUUAGCUAGUUGGUAAGGUAACGGCUUACCAAGGCAACGAUACGUAGCCGACCUGAGAGGGUGAUCGGCCACACUGGAACUGAGACACGGUCCAGACUCCUACGGGAGGCAGCAGUAGGGAAUCUUCCGCAAUGGACGAAAGUCUGACGGAGCAACGCCGCGUGAGUGAUGAAGGUUUUCGGAUCGUAAAACUCUGUUAUUAGGGAAGAACAAAUGUGUAAGUAACUGUGCACAUCUUGACGGUACCUAAUCAGAAAGCCACGGCUAACUACGUGCCAGCAGCCGCGGUAAUACGUAGGUGGCAAGCGUUAUCCGGAAUUAUUGGGCGUAAAGCGCGCGUAGGCGGUUUCUUAAGUCUGAUGUGAAAGCCCACGGCUCAACCGUGGAGGGUCAUUGGAAACUGGGAAACUUGAGUACAGAAGAGGAAAGUGGAAUUCCAUGUGUAGCGGUGAAAUGCGCAGAGAUAUGGAGGAACACCAGUGGCGAAGGCGACUUUCUGGUCUGUAAC
rnacentral:rRNA from 1 species